UGGGGAAUAUUGGACAAUGGGCGAAAGCCUGAUCCAGCAAUACCGAGUGGGUGACGAAGGCCUUAGGGUUGUAAAGCCCUUUUCAGCAGGGAAGAUAAUGACGGUACCUGACCAAGAAAGCCCCGGCUAACUCCGUGCCAGCAGCCGCGGUAAGACGGAGGGGGCUAGCGUUGUUCGGAAUUACUGGGCGUAAAGAGUGCGUAGGCGGUUUAGUAAGUUGGAAGUGAAAGCCCGAGGCUUAACCUCGGAACUGCUUUCAAAACUACUAAUCUAGAGUGUAGUAGGGGAUGAUGGAAUUCCUAGUGUAGAGGUGAAAUUCUUAGAUAUUAGGAGGAACACCGGUGGCGAAGGCGGUCAUCUAGGCUACAACUGACGCUGAUGCACGAAAGCGUGGGGAGCAAACAGG
rnacentral:rRNA from 1 species